AACGCAUCUUGCACCCUUUGGUAUUCCGAAGGGUAUGCCUGUUUGAGUGUCUUUAACAACAUCAACUCCACCCGUGAGUGAGUGCUCGGGUGGAUGUUGGACGUGAGCGCUGCCGUGAUCGGUUUCACCGGCUCGCUUGAAAAGUGUUAAGCCCGAUCUUCAGUGGUCCUACUCCGUCAGGUUGGUGUGGUAGAACUCCCACGAGUUGUGAAUCGCCUCGUGACGGAUGUGACCUUUGGAUGGUUGAGCUUUUGCGACGGCCCAUGUCUCAUGGCGCUUCUUGAAUCAGACCUCAAAUCAGGUAGGACUACCCGCUGAACUUAA
rnacentral:misc_RNA from 1 species